CAUAGGUUUGGUCCCAGCCUUCCUGUUAACUCUCAACAGACUUACACAUGCAAGCAUCCACGCCCCGGUGAGUAACGCCCUCCAAAUCAAUAAGACUAAGAGGAGCAGGUAUCAAGCACACAUCUUGUAGCUUACAACGCCUUGCUUAACCACACCCCUACGGGAGACAGCAGUGACAAAAAUUAAGCCAUAAACGAAAGUUUGACUAAGCCAUGUUGACUAGGGUUGGUAAAUCUCGUGCCAGCCACCGCGGUCAUACGAUUAACCCAAGCUAACAGGAAUACGGCGUAAAACGUGUUAAAGCACUACAUCAAAUAGAGUUAAAUUCUAAUUAAACUGUAAAAAGCCAUAAUUACAACAAAAAUAGAUGACGAAAGUAACCCUACUGCAGCUGAUACACUAUAGCUAAGACCCAAACUGGGAUUAGAUACCCCACUAUGCUUAGCCCUAAACACAAAUAAUUACAGAAACAAAAUUAUUCGCCAGAGUACUACCGGCAACAGCCCGAAACUCAAAGGACUUGGCGGUGCUUUAUACCCUUCUAGAGGAGCCUGUUCUAUAAUCGAUAA
rnacentral:rRNA from 1 species